UCAGUGCUGCGGGGUGAGUGGCGAGUGCACGGCUGCAGGUCUAAUGUCCAGUUUUACUUCUGAAACGGUUUAGAUUUGGUGUAGAGCUGUUAAAUUCGUGUUGUCUGAGGUCAGCUUCUUGUUCUACUUUUCCCGCUCCUCCUGAAGUGGUGCAGAACUGCUGUACCUCUUUAAGGUGGAACGGUAAAAUAUGACUAAGAAGCUGGCUGCACGAGGUGCUUCGCCUGCUGCAGAAAACCUGAAGCGGCUGCAUUUCUGCAUCGGCCUCUUGUUCGAAUUCUCCGCGCCACCUUAAAUACAAGCGACGGAAUGUAGCUGCUGUAUCGUUUUAAGGUGCAACGGGAACAAUAUCGGAGAGCAGAUAUGGGCUUCCACUGCAGAUCCUCGGAAAGUGGCUGUACAGGCUGGACUGAAGAAGGCACCUAGCUGCUGGUUUCCCCAGAUGGGAAGUUACUUGACUUGAUGCCGUUGUAGCAUGGUGCUGUAAGGGAUUAAAGGGAGCUGAGGUCCUGGAUGAGGUCUGAUGGUGCUGUCUGUACCCUGACUACAGAAGCUCACUCGGAUGAAGUUGGAGCUGUGGUGGAGGGGAACGUUCUGCAGAACCAGGUCAAUUAUGAAGGUGUACUGAAGUUGUACUGAUCAGUUGAUUCCAAUAAAGCUCUGAAUUGACAAGUUGA